UCGGGAAUAUUGCGCAAUGGAGGAAACUCUGACGCAGUGACGCCGCGUAUAGGAAGAAGGUUUUCGGAUUGUAAACUAUUGUCGUUAGGGAAGAGAAAGGACAGUACCUAAGGAGGAAGCUCCGGCUAACUACGUGCCAGCAGCCGCGGUAAUACGUAGGGAGCGAGCGUUAUCCGGAAUUAUUGGGUGUAAAGGGUGCGUAGACGGGAGAACAAGUUAGUUGUGAAAUACCUCGGCUCAACUGAGGAACUGCAACUAAAACUGUACUUCUUGAGUGCAGGAGAGGUAAGUGGAAUUCCUAGUGUAGCGGUGAAAUGCGUAGAUAUUAGGAGGAACACCAGUGGCGAAGGCGACUUACUGGACUGUAACUGACGUUGAGGCACGAAAGUGUGGGGAGCAAACAG
rnacentral:rRNA from 1 species